rnacentral:rRNA from 1 species
CCUACGGGAGGCUGCAGUGGGGAAUAUUGCACAAUGGGCGAAACCCUGAUCCAGCGACGCCGCGUGAGUGAAGAAGUAAUUCGUUAUGGAAAGCUCUAUCAGCAGGGAAGCAAAUGACGGUACCUGAGUAAGAAGCCCCGGCUAACUACGUGCCAGCAGCCGCGGUAAUCCGGAGGGGGCAAGCGUUAUCCGGAUUUAUUGGGUGUAAAGGGAGCGUAGACGGCAGUGCAAGUCUGGAGUGAAAGGCGGGGGGUCAACCCCCGGACUGCUGUGGAAACUGUACGGCUGGAGUGCAGGAGAGGUAAGUGGAAUUCGUAGUGUAGCGGUGAAAUGCGUAGAUAUUAGGAGGAACACCAGUGGCGAAGGCGGCCUACUGGACGGUGACUGACGCUGAGGCUCGAAAGCGUGGGGAGCAAACAGGAUUAGAUACCCGUGUAGUC